GACAGAGGGUGCAAACGUUGUUCGGAAUUACUGGGCGUAAAGCGCGUGUAGGCGGCCCUGUAAGUCGGGUGUGAAAUCCCACGGCUCAACCGUGGAAGUGCAUUCGAAACUACAGGGCUAGAGUUCUGAAGAGGAAGGUGGAAUGCUUGGUGUAGAGGUGAAAUUCGUAGAUAUCAAGCGGAACACCGGUGGCGAAGGCGGCCUUCUGGACAGUAACUGACGCUGAGACGCGAAAGCGUGGGGAGCAAACAGG
rnacentral:rRNA from 1 species